rnacentral:rRNA from 1 species
GAUGAACGCUGGCGGCGUGCUUAACACAUGCAAGUCGAACGGAAAGGCUCCUGCUUGCAGGGGUACUCGAGUGGCGAACGGGUGAGUAACACGUGGGUGAUCUGCCCUGCACUUCGGGAUAAGCCUGGGAAACUGGGGCUAAUACCGGAUAGGACGAUGUUUUGGAUGCCAUUGUGGAAAGUUUUUCGGUGUGGGAUGAGCUCGCGGCCUAUCAGCUUGUUGGUGGGGUAGUGGCCUACCAAGGCGUCGACGGGUAGCCGGCCUGAGAGGGUGUACGGCCACAUUGGGACUGAGAUACGGCCCAGACUCCUACGGGAGGCAGCAGUGGGGAAUAUUGCACAAUGGGCGCAAGCCUGAUGCAGCGACGCCGCGUGGGGGAUGACGGCCUUCGGGUUGUAAUCUCCUUUCGCCAGGGACGAAGCGCAAGUGACGGUACCUGGAGAAGAAGCACCGGCUAACUACGUG